AUUCCAGCUCCAAUAGCGUAUAUUAAAGUUGUUGCGGUUAAAAAGCUCGUAGUUGGAUUUCUGCCGAGGACGACCGGUCCGCCCUCUGGGUGAGUAUCUGGCUCGGCCUGGGCAUCUUCUUGGAGAACGUAGCUGCACUUGACUGUGUGGUGCGGUAUCCAGGACUUUUACUUUGAGGAAAUUAGAGUGUUUCAAGCAGGCACACGCCUUGAAUACAUUAGCAUGGAAUAAUAAGAUAGGACCUCGGUUCUAUUUUGUUGGUUUCUAGAGCUGAGGUAAUGAUUAAUAGGGAUAGUUGGGGGCAUUCGUAUUUAACUGUCAGAGGUGAAAUUCUUGGAUUUGUUAGAGACGGACUACUGCGAAAGCAUUUGCCAAGGAUGUUUUCAUUA
rnacentral:rRNA from 1 species